AUGCUUCUUUUCUUGUUUGUGCACCUUCAGAUAGUUCAGUUAGGAACUAGGAUCCACUUGGAGUCCAUAUGUUGGACUGAAAAAGCUCCUCCAAACUUACCUUCACAUUGAUGAGUGCUGAAUAGAAAGCCGAUAACAGGGCACGAAAUUCUGUCCCUUUUUCGUAUCAAAGUAGCUUUAGCGUUAGCACUUAGCACCACCUCAUUGCUCCUUCCACCCUGCCCAAGUCAUGAUCAAGAUGGCAUGUAUCACUACAGCUACCAGCAAGAUGAUGCUGGGUUGAAUGCUGUACCCGAUGCAUAAAAAUAGAUGAACCAAAAGCUAAAACAGAAAAGUAAAGGAAACUGAGGUAACAACGAUAGCACAUGUGACAUGACAUUUGCUAUUAGAGUCACAACAAGAACAAUGAACUGAUUUCUCUUACUAUUGCUACUGGUCUCCAUUCCUAAUGACUUGAUAUAGCAAUUAUCAAACUCUAGCAUUCACGUGCAAGGUGGGUGCAGUAGAAUUAUAGGACAAGACAAAUUUCCGACCUGUAGACCAUAAAAAGUAACCGAGGAUCAUGGAUAUCCUUUCAAAUGGCUU
rnacentral:lncRNA from 1 species